rnacentral:rRNA from 1 species
CGCUCAGGACGAACGCUGGCGGCGUGCCUAAUACAUGCAAGUCGAACGCUUCUUUUUCCACCGGAGCUUGCUCCACCGGAAAAAGAGGAGUGGCGAACGGGUGAGUAACACGUGGGUAACCUGCCCAUCAGAAGGGGAUAACACUUGGAAACAGGUGCUAAUACCGUAUAACAAUCGAAACCGCAUGGUUUUGAUUUGAAAGGCGCUUUCGGGUGUCGCUGAUGGAUGGACCCGCGGUGCAUUAGCUAGUUGGUGAGGUAACGGCUCACCAAGGCCACGAUGCAUAGCCGACCUGAGAGGGUGAUCGGCCACAUUGGGACUGAGACACGGCCCAAACUCCUACGGGAGGCAGCAGUAGGGAAUCUUCGGCAAUGGACGAAAGUCUGACCGAGCAACGCCGCGUGAGUGAAGAAGGUUUUCGGAUCGUAAAACUCUGUUGUUAGAGAAGAACCAAGGAUGAGAGUAACUGUUCAUCCCUUGACGGUAUCUAACCAGAAAGCCACGGCUAACUA